CUUAAACUCCUGACUGCAGGUGAUCCAGCCGCCUCAGCCUCCCAAAAUUCUGGGAUUACAGGCGUGAGCCACUGCACCUGGCCAGGCCACAUCUCUUGACUGCUUUCCAUGCCAGACCCCAGAGAGGCAAUGAGACUGAGCCGAGACUUCUCCCAAAGGAGAAUAUUGUUGGGAACAAACAACACUCAUAUCCAGAGUAUGGGGGCAGGGAGAGGAUAUCAGCAAGGUGAACGAGCCCUUCCAAAGUAGAUGACACACCAGUCCUGGUUGUUAAAGAGGCUGGAGUGGAGAGGGCAAGCUGUCCCUGGAUAUGUCCUUAGCAGAAUGAUGUCGGAAUUCAGGUGGGUUCUGUUUCCUGUCCAGCAGGAGGCUGGGCAGUUGGAAGUCCUUAACUAUGAUGAAUGAACAACCGGGUGACCUUCUUCAAUGGGGGCUCAAGCCAGGAAGGGUGGCCCCAGCAAUCUACGGCUGAAGCUGCCACACACUGGCCUGGUCUGGGUGAGCCAAUGGAGCCCCAGGUGGAUUGGUAAGGACAAGGAGCCCAGACUGACUGCAAACUGAGUUCUCACCACUGCUUGUCCUUCUUCAACACCUGACCAGGAGGGUCUGCCCACAGCGGCCCUGAAGGCCCCAACUCCAGGCAGUGAGAUCGAGAGACCAGCUGCAGCUGUGAUUCCUGGGGCUAUCCAUUGUUAUUUCAGAAGUUCCUGGCAGUCUUUCAGGGGGUGCUGUGAUGAAUGAGUACUUUCUUCUUCCCGACUGUCAUCAAAGGCACACACCAUAGAGCCCAGGGGGUGUGUGGCAAGGGGGACUCAGAGCUGGCAGUAACCAGCAGGCUCGCUAUAGUCACAGAGGCAGGAAGUGAGGCACAAGGGUCUUCCGAGUGCACCCAGAAUUGCAGCACCAAGCGAGAACCUGAAAACCCACCUUAUAGUUCAAAAUGACUCUUUCAUACUCUCUGCUCACAACUUGUAGUCAGUGCUUUCUGGUGACAGCAGAGGAGAUGGAAGCUGUGUCCAGAUGCAGAACCUGCCUACUGUCCUGGGUUCGGAUGGAUGGCACACACCCCGCCUGAAUGACCCCAUGGUGGGCACAGUUCAGGGACUGCUUUUGAUGUCAUCUUUAGCUGGUAUUCAACCCAGAGCAUAAGAGUUCCUGUAUCCUGUACGGUUUCUGAUCUGAGGUACUUAUCCCAGGUCUGGGGCUUCCUCAUUGAUCCUGAGGAAACCAUCUCUCAUCACCUAGGCCCACCAACACUGAACCCCUCUCCCACUAUGCUCAGAAUUCUUGGUGAAUAUAGGAAAUUGGAACAAAUAAAAUGUCUAAUAUCUACUUUCUUUUCUACUUCAUUGAUUUUUGUUUUUGUCUGUGUUUCUUCCCUCUAAUUUGCUCUGGCUUUGAUACUAUUUAUUUUCUCAUUUCUUGAGCUAGA
rnacentral:lncRNA from 10 species